rnacentral:rRNA from 1 species
UACGGAGGGUGCAAGCGUUAUCCGGAUUCACUGGGUUUAAAGGGAGCGUAGGCGGAUUGAUAAGUCAGUGGUGAAAGCCCCAAGCUCAACUUGGGAAUUGCCAUUGAUACUGUUAAUCUUGAGUGCGGUUGAAGUGGGCGGAAUAUGACAUGUAGCGGUGAAAUGCUUAGAUAUGACAUAGAACACCAAUUGCGAAGGCAGCUUACUUCACGAUCAUUGACACUGAGGCACGAAAGCGUGGGGAGCAAACAGG